rnacentral:lncRNA from 1 species
AUGGCGGCCACCAUGAUCUUGUACUCGCCCUUCCCCGCGUUGCGGCCCAGCGCCAGCUGCAGCCCCGCCAGGUCGGCCAGGUCCACCGUGGCCUUCAUGAACUCCUGCCACCGUCACCGACGGCGUCACCGUCACCGGCAACGUCACUACCAACGGCCCCAACACCACCACCAACACCCGCAGCCCCAGCAAUGUCCCCCCAAGGUCACUGUGGCCUUCAUGAACUCCUGUCACCGUCACCAACAGCGUCACCAUCACCAACGACAGCCCCAAAAACACCCCCAGCCCCAGCAACACCCCCCCAGGUCCACCAUGGCCUUCAUGAACUCCUGCCACCAUCACCAACAACGUCACCAUCACCGACAAUGUCACCGUCACCGACGACGGCCCCAGCACCACCACCACCACCCGCAGCCCCACCAACGUCCCCAGCAACGUCCCCCCAGGGCCACCGUGGCCUUCAUGAACUCCUGUCACCGUCACCGACAGCGUCACCGCCACCAACAACGUCACUGUCACCAACAGCAACCCCAACAACACCCCCAGCCCCAGCAACGUCCCCCCAGGUCCACCGUGGCCUUCAUGAACCCCUGUCACCGCCACUGACGAUGUCACCGUCACCAACAACAUCACCGUCACCACCACCACCACCCGCAGCCCCACCAACGUCCCCAGCAACCUCCCCCCAGGACCACCGUGGCCUUCAUGAACUCCUGCCACCGUCACCAACAGCGUCACCGUCACCGACAACAGCCCCAACAACACCCCCAGCCCCAGCAACGUCCCCCCAGGGCCACCGUGGCCUUCAUGAACUCCUGUCACCGUCACCGACGGCAUCACCGUCACCAACAACAACCCCAACAACACCCUCACCACUGCCAACAUCCCCCCAGGUCUACCAUGGCCUUCAUGAACUCCUGCCACCAUCACCAAUGAUGUCACCGUCACCGACAAUGUCACCGUCACCACCCACAACCCCAGCAACCUCCCCCCAGGUCCACGGUGGCCUUCACGAGCCCCUGUCACCGUCACCAACAACGUCGCUGUCCCCAAGGCCACCAGCGUCCCCACCAACGCCACCGACCCCGGCACCACAAACGCCCCCGUUGUCACCAGCGCCAAAGCCAACGUCACCGCCACCGAGACGCCA